ensembl:snoRNA
UGUGUGUGUGUUUCAUUUGUAACAAAGCCUUACAAACAGUAAAUUCUUUUUUGCAAACAAGAACUCACUGUUGAGUAUGAGUUUUGGUACAUAUAAGAAGGAAUAUG